rnacentral:rRNA from 1 species
AUUGAACGCUGGCGGCAGGCCUAACACAUGCAAGUCGAACGAGUGGCGGACGGGUGAGUAAUGUCUGGGAAACUGCCUGAUGGAGGGGGAUAACUACUGGAAACGGUAGCUAAUACCGUAUACCAUCAGAUGUGCCCAGAUUGGAUUAGCUUGUUGGUGGGGUAACGGGUCACCAGGGCGACGAUCCCUAGCUGGUCUGAGAGGAUGACCCGCCAAACGGGAACAGAGAAACGAUCCAAACUCCUACGGGAGGCAGCAGUGGGGAAUAUUGGACAAUGGGCGCAAGCCUGAUGCGGCCAUGCGGGGUGUAUGAAGAAGGCCUUCGGGUUGUAAAGUACUUUCAGCGGGGAGGCGUUACCCGCAGAAGAAGCACCGGCGAACUCCGUGCCAGCCGCCGCGGUAAUUC